rnacentral:rRNA from 1 species
GUCGAACGAAGCACUUUAUUUGAUUUCCUUCGGGACUGAUUAUUUUGUGACUGAGUGGCGGACGGGUGAGUAACGCGUGGGUGACCUGCCUUGUACAGGGGGAUAACAGUUGGAAACGGCUGCUAAUACCGCAUAAGCGCACAGCAUCGCAUGAUGCAGUGUGAAAAACUCCGGUGGUAUAAGAUGGACCCGCGUUGGAUUAGCUAGUUGGUGAGGUAACGGCCCACCAAGGCGACGAUCCAUAGCCGACCUGAGAGGGUGACCGGCCACAUUGGGACUGAGACACGGCCCAAACUCCUACGGGAGGCAGCAGUGGGGAAUAUUGCACAAUGGGCGAAAGCCUGAUGCAGCGACGCCGCGUGAGCGAAGAAGUAUUUCGGUAUGUAAAGCUCUAUCAGCAGGGAAGAUAAUGACGGUACCUGACUAAGAAGCACCGGCUAAAUACGUGCCAGCAGCCGCGGUAAUACGUAUGGUGC